CCUACGGGGGGCAGCAGUGAGGAAUAUUGGUCAAUGGACGAGAGUCUGAACCAGCCAAGUAGCGUGAAGGAUGACUGCCCUAUGGGUUGUAAACUUCUUUUAUAUGGGAAUAAAAUGUUCCACGUGUGGGAUUUUGUAUGUACCAUAUGAAUAAGGAUCGGCUAACUCCGUGCCAGCAGCCGCGGUAAUACGGAGGAUGCGAGCGUUAUCCGGAUUUAUUGGGUUUAAAGGGUGCGCAGGCGGUCUGUUAAGUCAGCGGUCAAAGCCCGGGGCUCAACCCCGGCCCGCCGUUGAAACUGGCAGUC
rnacentral:rRNA from 1 species